rnacentral:lncRNA from 1 species
UAGAUAUGUCAUAAAUGUAAGCUGGUAGAACAGAAAAAACAUGUGAAUCCAUCAGAUAAUUAGUGUAAUCAGACAUGUAUCAUGUCUUUUUUUUACUCAGUGUUGCUGAAUUUCUUGUGCAUCUCUCAAGGCUUUUACAAUGAUCCACUGUACACUAAUGAUGGAAGGAAGUUUCUGUUGAUGAGGUCACUGUUCGAGCUUGUCUUGGCCAAUGAAUAUCUGGAGCUCACAGAUCCAAAGUUGCUUGGAUGGUUCCUAUGUUUAACAGCAGAGGACAGAACCUUAAUUAAAAAAGAGGGAGGGCUUCUGCCAUUUUUACAGAAACACCCGGCACUUCAAGUAGACAGACAGUAUGUUUAUGUGAAAUGUGAGUUCAGUUGGUAAAACAUUACUAAGGCUGGAUGUUUAUUUGUCAGCAAGCAUUCUGUAUACUGUGUAAAAUAUAUAUUUUAUAAUUUAGCAAAAACCAGAGGAAACUGCAUUCCCCCUCCAACAACUAUGUCAUCAAAUAAGUAAGUUUUUAAUUUUUUUAAAUUAUAUUUGAAUUUUUUGUUACCGUUCAGUUUUAUC